UACGUAGGGUGCGAGCGUUGUCCGGAAUUAUUGGGCGUAAAGGGCUCGUAGGCGGUUUGUCGCGUCGGGAGUGAAAACACCGGGCUUAACUCGGUGCUUGCUUUCGAUACGGGCAGACUAGAGGCAUGCAGGGGAGAACGGAAUUCCUGGUGUAGCGGUGAAAUGCGCAGAUAUCAGGAGGAACACCGGUGGCGAAGGCGGUUCUCUGGGCAUGUCCUGACGCUGAGGAGCGAAAGUGUGGGGAGCGAACGGG
rnacentral:rRNA from 1 species